ACAGCCGUACCAUGCUGAAUAUACCGGUUCUCGUUAGAUCACCGAAGUCAAGCAUCAUUGGGCGCGGUCAGUACUUGGGUGGGUGACCAUCUGGGAACACUGCGUGC
rnacentral:rRNA from 1 species